CCGGGCUUCUGGUCUCAGCUCCAGAAGUAUGAGGAGGCCCUCCAGGCCCAGUCCUGCCUGCAGGGAGAGCCCCCAGCCUUAGGGUUGGGCCCUGAGGCUUGAAGCUUGAAGGCCUGCUGCCUGGAGGAAGGAUGUCCCUGCACUGAUACAGAAGGCUGCUGUUUCUGGCAAAGCCUGCCGUGUCUUACAUUUGUCUCUCUAUCCGGAUUAGAUGUUGCUAUAUGAACACAUCGGGACUGUGUCUGCAGGAAGGAGCUCCCCAUUCGAGGCCUUCACAGUGUCACCCACAUUCACCUCUUUCCACUUAAACGUGUCCCAUGAAUCUUGUCAUAACAGUUUUGUGUUCCUUAACUAUUUUGUCUGCCAUGUCAUUUAUGAUGUAUAUAACCUCUUUAAUGCCUGAAAUCAUAAGAAUAAUCAUCAAAGGCAAGAGGGUUGUAUAUUUUCCCGUUGGAGACACAUCUGGAAUUUGCUGCAAU
rnacentral:lncRNA from 1 species